rnacentral:rRNA from 1 species
UACGUAGGGUGCAAGCGUUGUCCGGAAUUAUUGGGCGUAAAGAGCUCGUAGGCGGUUUGUCGCGUCGGCUGUGAAAACCUGGGGCUCAACCCCGGGCCUGCAGCCGAUACGGGCAAGCUAGAGUUCGGUAGGGGAGACUGGAAUUCCUGGUGUAGCGGUGAAAUGCGCAGAUAUCAGGAGGAACACCGGUGGCGAAGGCGGGUCUCUGGGCCGAUAUUGACGCUGAGGAGCGAAAGCGUGGGGAGCAAACAGG